rnacentral:tRNA from 1 species
CCUUCGAGCCGGAUGGACUGUAGAUCCAUAGGUCGCUGGUUCAUAUCCGGCUCGAAGGA